AAGAGAACUUCUUGACGGUCUUGACGAAGGCGAUGAGGAAAGUGAGAGCAGCGUAAGAGAGAGGAAUGGCGAGAAUCCAAGGGAGAGAGGUGGGACCCACUCUGGGACCGGGAAUGGCUUGGGUAACGGAGCCGGUGAACUCAACGAGGUCCAAAGCCUUCUCCUGAAUCCAUGGCAGCUCCUCCUCCACUUCCACCUCCACUUCCUUCACUUUCUCCAUUUCUUUCUCUUGCUUCGUAGCGUUGUUGUUGGAGUUUGGCGUGGCUAAGCAUGUUGUGGAAAACGGUGUGCGUCGUGGGAAGAGAAGAGUGAAAGUUGUGCAUUUGGUUGAGUGAAAAGGGAUUGGCGAGUGUUUUCUGGGAGGAAGAAACUGAGAAGCAAUAGAACUACACUGAGAAGAAGUAAAAGCCAUUUUCAGAAAAACCUCAAUCCUCAGUUUUCUCUUCUACCUUCGCCGCUGUUCCCUUUGGCUCUUCUUUUUAGGUUUAAUUCUAUUUUCUAUAUGAGUAAGGUAUGGGGGUGAUUUUCUCUUAAUUAUAAUUUUCUACCUUAUUUUAUAUUACUUUCUUAAAUUAGAAGUUAACUCAUAAUAUUCAGAGUCAAAAGAUUAUUAUUUUGAUGUCAAUUAUUUAGAAUUAAUAAAUUAAUUAGUUUUUAAAGAAAUGUGUUUGCCAUAUUGUGUUGUAGUAUUUAUAUAUAAACACUUAUUUAAUUAAGGAUGUUGUAGAAUUAAAAUAUUAUUUUCUAUUUCAAGUAUAUGUUGAUUAUUGUAAAAAAUAAUAAUUAACAUUAAGUUUAAUUACUCUUUUAGUUCCUUAACAUGUUAAGGGACAAAAAUGAAUUUUGUUGUUACGUUUUUAAAAUGUUUGAUGUGAUUUCAAUUUUUUUUUAAAUAUCAAAUAUGAUUAUAUUUUAUAUUGUCUUCGGCAAUCUAAAACAAAAAAUUUGAAAAAAAACAUUCCAAUCCAAUCCAAAUAUUUUCUAUUGGAAUAUUUUUCGAUAUUUAUAGCAUCUUUGGAUUAGGACUUGAUAUACAAAGUGGUUUAUUUAAUACACAUGUAUAGUUUGAUUAAGGUUGGAAACUAAAAAGCCACUCCCCUCUUUUCCUCAUCCUUUAUAGUCGUAGGCUCCUCCACAAUCUCAAACUAUCCUCAAAAUCCUAAACCCUUUUGGGGUUGAUUUCCUCCCAUAUUGAACCCUAUUAUGUAUUCGGUUCAUGAUUUUAUUCUCAUUCGUAGUUUCAUCUAUCAUCAGACCCACGUUAGGUUGAUUUUAACUCAUUUGUGUUGUUUUCUAGGUACUAUGUGGACCAAAACAAGGCUGCCACAGAAGCUAUUAGACCAAUUUGGUUCUGACUCAACUGUGUAUAAUAUGUAUGCAUGAGCUUAAUUCCUUUGAGCUUAAUUUCUUCUAUAUUUAUGAUUAGUUUAUCGUGUGUCAAAUGUGUUACAAGUGAAAGUGUAUAGGUGUACCUCUUAUUGGUUUGUUAUAUUUUAUAUUAUUUAUUUAAAAAAACGUAUACAGUGUCACAAUUUUUAAAUAAACGAAAUUUAACCUACAUUAAUUUUUAAUCACGUAAAUUUAACUUACAUCUAUACAAAAUUAUAUAACAUUAAUUUUUAAUCACGUAAAUUUAACUUACAUCUACACAAAAUUAUAUAACGUGAAAUUAGCUUACAUGCUAUUUAUACAAAAAUUAUACUCUAUUCUUUAUAAAGAAGCCUGCAUACUACCACAAAAUUAUAUUUUAUAUUAUUUAUUUAAAAAACAAAAAAAAAAUUAUAUUAUUUAUUUGAAAAAGUAUAGACUUAACCUACAUGUUGUCUACACAAUUAUUUUUAUAUUGUUUUUAUAUUAUUUAUUUAAAUGAAGCAUAGACUUAAUCGUGGAUAUGUGGACAAUGAAAUAAAUAAAAAAAUUAGACUUUUUUAAUGUGUCAACUAAGCCUUCUACUUCCUCAAUUCUUCUUGUAACCAGUAACACAUUAGUCAUUCCAUCAAACUUUACAUUCGCUUCUUCUUUCUCUUGUUUCCGAAGUCCUCUAACUCAAUAAGAAUCUCAUCAUCCACCACAAGAGGGACCCGAUUUGAGUCAUUAUGCUUUUUUGACUGCUCAUUCCUGUUCAUACCUCUGCAUACAUUAAGCAUACACACCUAUUUAGAAUAUGAAAGAAUAAAUUUGUUAUUAUCUGUGAAUUAAAGAAACCAAAAAAUAACAAGUUACCAGCAUCAGUUUCAAAUAUUGCCACAGGAAUAGCACACUCACUAAAUGGUGUGCCCUGCAAAGGCAAUAACUUUCUAAAAUAACAUUCUUCUAAUGUUGAACCAUGGAGAAACUUGUCAAAAAGUUCAGCCUGUGACAAGAAAAGUGUUUCACAUUAAAAAUAAAUUGAGAACAGAAUAACCAUAAAAAACAACCUCAACAUUGAACAAAAUGUUUUGUUUUAAAUGUGAUGACAAUAUAUAAAUAAAAGUACAUAGAGAAUUUCAUCAAAGCUGUUAGAUGAACCAAUUCAGAAAAAAGACACCCACGAAGUAUAAUUUUGUCACCAAUUUCUGUUAAAAAAAUCAGCCAUUACGUAAAAAACAUUGAUUCAUCCACUUUAAUCAGUUUUGCUCCACAAAUGUUACAACCCUUACUUAUCAGUCUGGUAUUAAAAACACUGACAGCUUUAUCAUUCUCACGCACAAACAUCAGGGAGAAAAUAACAUUAUAUAUCCUUGUUAUUACUGGAGCAUAUUGCAUGGCAUUACAAUUGAAGAUGAUGAUCACACUUCUUUAUCAAUAUACCUGGAAAACUUUGAUUAGCUUCAAUUCACCUCUGCGCUUGAUCUCAAAACCUUUAAGUUCUGCAAGGGUUCCAUCAUCAUUAAAAACAGCAUAUCGCUUUUUAAUUAAAAUUCCUUCUUCCUUGGAAGCAGGAAGGAUCAUUGCCUACACCAAAGCAAAGCCAUUUAACUCAUUUACAUAUAGUAAAUCUUAGAAUUUGAAUUUAAGACUAACUUAACGCCUUAAAAUUGGUUUGAGACCUAAGGGUGCCUCCCAACACUAUUUUAGACUUAUCUCAAGUCAAAAUAUGACUUGAGUUUUUCCCAAUACAUUCCCUCAUGCCCAGAACAAUUGGGUUCUAUGUGCGAAUAAUAUGAUAUGUGGCCCAAUAAUAUAUCUACAAUAAACUCAGAUGUCAUCUUAGAUCUUAAGUCAACACCACAAAAUCUACUCAUGAAGUGAGAAUUGCCCCCACUUAUAUAUACUAUUUUAGUCUUAUCACUGGUCAAUCAAUAGUAAAACUCAAAAAAACAUGUAAAUCAUAAAAUAUGGCUACAUUUUACCUUAUAUGGUCCAUCCACCUCAAAUUCAAUAGAGCAUUCACUAUGAGUUGUAUAAGUUUUCCUCAUUGGAUCUGUGAGUGUCUGUCAAAAAAUUGAAAGAAUGAAUUAAUAACAAGCAAUAGCAAAGCAACUGCCCUAACUGCAAAACACUGAAGCAGAAGAAUCUGCAUCAAAUUGUGAAUUUGCUAAUAAAAUUACAAGCUGACCUGAUAUUGAUCAUUUGCAUUAUUUAUUGCCACAUCAACAUUAAGCAUAACACAAGGGUAUGAUAUUGUAAACUUCUUCUUUGAGUCUCUGAAAUCCAUUAAAUAUGAUAAUCAUUAAUUGAUUUCUAUCAACAGCAAUCAAAAUUAUUGGUAAUUAGAUAGAGAAAAUGACAAUUUGGAAGAAAAAACAGGUAAAAAAGUAGGAAGCAGCACAAUAUAUUGCCCCUACCGGUAGUGCACACCAAAUACCAUCCCUGUCUAAUUCAAGUGGUUUUCCUAUUUUUUCUACUAGCAAGCGAGCAUUCUGAAUUAUUUUUGCACCAGUAUAUGUCACUACUCCAGCCAUUUACAUGGAAUACCAUCUUGCACCCCUGUAAGAUAAACAUCAAUGCAAGGGAUGAUUCAGAAGAAAAAAUAGCAAAUGUAACUAAUGAGCUCCAAUGAUGAAACUUGAAGAACAUAUGGAGGUCAAUUUACUCACUUGCAUGACAUAUUGAUACGACCCAAAUCCAUAAAAAGAUGACCAUAAAUGCCAACCUUGAAGGGUCAUCUCAACAAAAAAAAGAAGAUGUCAUCAAUAGGAGGAACGAUCAAGGACCAAAGCACUUGAAGUUCUUCCUAUUCGUGUUCUUGACAUUGAGGCCCAAGCCCAAGAAGCCCAAGUUGGGGCCAAACCCAACCCAUGAGCUCAACAUCCUUCAUACCUCAAAGGAUUACUGGGAGCAAGGUCAAGGCUUUGGAAGAUGAGCUAGUUUUUUAGUAGAACAUAAAAGGAAGAUGUAGAUAUAACGGGUGACAAUAUACAAAGAUAAGUCGCACCUUCCAUAUGACAUAGAAAGAAGGUGUAGGUGUAGAUUUAAGAGGUGUCAAAGCAAGAAACCAAGUCACACCUCCCUUGUGACUUGGAAUAGGCGCCAAAUUCAAAUAGAAAGAUGAAAACAAAGUGCAACACAACAAGGAGGCUUAAGGAAACAUCAAUGGAGUUCAAUGCCUUCCAAAUGAUGAACCAAACUCAUGAACAUGAGUGCCAUCUCCUUACACAACAAAAAAUGAAUAGAAAACUAGAAUUGAAUGCGGAAACUAAAGGAAAAGCAAGAACAGCACAUUAAACCAAAUAGAAUAACAACACAAGACAAAUGAACCGAUUAAAAAGGAAGACAACACAAAAUAACCGAAUAGAAAUGAAGAACAAGACAAGUAUAGGUGCGGAAAUGGAAAUGGAAGAUGAAGCAAGAACUUAUGUGGUUGAAGCCAUGGAAGGGAAGAACACGCUACUUGGAAGGUGAUUGAUCCAAGAUAAGUGCAAGAAUGCCGCCACUUGAGACACUCACAAGAUGAGACAAGAUUAGGAGAACAAUUCUCACAACUCACAAAAUUGUGUAUAGUAAUUUUACUUCAAAUUCAAUGUGAUUUUACAUGAGCAUGGCACCUCCAUUUUUAGUGUGAGAGGACUGAAAUUAAAGUGGGAAAAUCAAAUGAAACACAUUUGAAUUUGGCGUCUAUUCCAAGUCACAAGGCACGUGUGACUUGGUUUCUUACUUUGGCACCUCCUAAAUCUACACCUACACCUUCUUUCUAUGUUACAUGGAAGGUGCGACUUAUCUUUGUACAUUGUCACCCGUUAUAUCUAUAUCUACCCCUUCCUUUUAUGUUCUACUAAAAAAACACUCAAAAGAAAUUACAAAAAAAGACAUCCAUUGAUGCUCAUCUUCCAAAGCCUUGGCCUUGCUCCUAGUAAUCCUUUGAGGUAUGAAGGAUGUUGAGCUCAUAAAAUUUCCACUAACCUUGGCCCCUGACAAUUUUCCCUUCUAAACCUUCUCGAGACCUUUAUAUUCGUAUCUUCUAUCCCGGAAACUUGAAUCAGUUAGCACAAAACAAGGACUUAGAACAACACAACAAACAAAAUAAAAAUGUGGAGUAGAAAUUUAAAGAAAUUCUCUAAGGUUAACACUCUCUAUCUAUGUUCCUCAGAUUGUGAAUAUAUAUAAGGAGAUGCAUUCUGCUUCUAACUACAAAUGCAAAGGUUAACUUUAUUGUUCGAAAUUAAUCUUCAAUGAUCUUCACUGACCUGCGAACAGUGUCAACAUAAAAUGGAUUUUCACGCAUGCAGAUUCCCGGUUCAUGAACUUCAGUUACAGGUUUGUCGAGUACCCACUUAUAUGCAUGUGGAAUCCACCAAGAUUUAGCAAUCAUACAUUAUUUAAUCAAACACAUUCAAUGAAACAGCCAUAACCUUCUAGCAGUAUUUCUUUAAACAAUCUUUCAGUCUUGAUUGUUCUCAGAAUCAUCAACAAACUCUGAUUCAAUCUGUGUCUUUAAAGCAUAGAAGUCACUGAAGGAUUUCAAAUAAAAGUGUCAAUCAUUUAUUAAUUUUCCAAAAAUGUGCUCAAAAGAUCUACAGAACAGGAAACAUUAAGUGAAAAUAAAAUUACACCGUUUCUUUGCCAUGAAUGUUUCUCCACACCAGACCCACUUAAGCUUACGUAGGCAAGUCUUUCCAGGACGAUUAAAAUCACAUGCAGUGCAGACUUCAUGAGCAACAAUUGAUGGUGGUUGCAAACAUGAAUGAGAAGAACGGGAGGUUCAUAUUUAUCAGAAUUUCAAAAUUCAUGAUGACAAUCCUAGUAGGACAUAUCAAGCAGAAAACAACAACCAUAUCCUUAACAACAACUAAAUGUUUGCCAUAAAAAGCUAAGAAAUUGCUGUGAUAAUGUGGUGAGAUGCAUUGCCUCUGUCAACAAUAAUCACAAGUGUGUAAGACCACAACAAACUCCAUGCCACCAGCUGAGUAUUUUUAGGUACACCAGGGACUACAUGAAUGCCAUUUUCUCAAACUGCAUAUUAUAGUCAUCCUCUUAUCUUUUACUAGUCUUAUUCACAUUAUUUUGAAAAAACAUCUAAGAAAAAUAGGAGAACACUGGUGAUAUUUUAAAACGUACAUAUUCAAAUUAGUCAUGUAACACAGUGUAAUGCAGGAACAGAAGAAUUCAAACAGAUAAACACGUUCUCUGUUUUGAUAAUUAAAUUCUUCAAUCUAUAGUAGUGGUAAAGGCUUAUUUUUAAUUAGUAAAACUCCUAUCCACAACAACUUAUUAUAAAGACAGCAUAAUCUCAUAGUUUGAUAAUUAGACUCCCAGACAAAGCAUUGAUGGAAAACUGAGAUUUUCCCCAUUAAUAGGUCAUAGUUGACAGUUGUCAGUCCAUUUCUUUAUAUUAGGUCUAUCUCUUCAUCCAUUUGCAUCAACAGCUUCUGAGAAUUCUUAUGUUUUAGUUGGUGUUGGGUACUAAACCUAUUAUCAGUCAGGUUCUACAUUGAGACCUCAUGAAAUUUAGCUAAAUUGGCAGCAUGUGCAAUUGAAGUACGACUAUGCAUUUUCAUUAAGUGUUAUGCUCUAAUCCAGCCAGAAAAAUACUCAAGGAAUUCCAGGGUAGUGUGUUAGGAACCAAGAAUUAUAAAGAGAAGAAAAAAAAGGUUUUUAUUGAAUAGAAAGAAAAGAACAAGAAAGAGGAGAGCACUCUCUCCUUCAAGGCUUCCCCUUCACAAAGAGCUAAAGCUCAAUCUACAAAAAUAUUGCACACUGCCCCUCCCCUCUCCUUCUUUCUUAUUUAUAUCUAACUAGCAAAUCAAAUAACUAACUCAUGAAUAUUCUAAUUCUAACAAACUCCUCUAUGUGUAACCUAACACAGUGUCACCUAGGUCGAGGCUAAUUCAAAGUCAUCAGUAUAAUCUUGAACUUUGCCAGUUUGCUUCACUAGUAUCAAAGAAGAGGAUCAUCAUAUGCACCUAAAAUCUGAUACCGAUUGAGAUGGACAGAGAACUAAGAGUUUGGAAUAAUUUCCAGUGUUCAAGGAUAAGCAUAACAGGAAUUGACAGAUCGUGAUAAUAGAAAUAAAAUAUUUUGUUUGUAAUCUGUCCCAAAACGCCACCAACACAUAAGCAGUGGACAGUUACAAAACGGACAGAGGAUGACCAUUACUUUGAUCCCUUUAUCCAAUAUGAAUAUUAUGUAUAAGUUUAAAAUUAAAGUUAAACCCCUCCACUUCAAAGGAAUAAUUAAAUGAGUAUACCUUAUGUUCAACCACAACCAAGUUUUCAGGACAAGGACCAUUAGCUUGAUUCUUGAUCUUCCUCUUUUUGAUAAUGAAGAUUACAUAAAGAAAAAUAUCCAUAUCAAUUACAUACAAAGUUUAAAGCAACUAAUUGUCAUGAAAUGAUAAAUUUGUUGAGUCAUUCAUAUACAUCUAUUUGUUAUAGUUUUUAUAUUAUAUAUUUAGAUCUCUUCAAAAAAAAAUUGUGAACAUAUUUAAAUUAAAAAUAGUAAGAUUUCCGCAUAACUAUAACAUGAUAACAUGUAUGGAGUGACUUGCCACUCCUCCAGUAAGUAACCAUUAACAAGCUAUUUUUUUUAUUAUGUAAUCACUUAAUAUAAUGGAUGUUAAUUCUAUGUAACCAUUAACCGUUUGAAUUACAAAACUUUUCUCUUCCCUUUAGUUUACAAAAAGUAAAGAAACAUUCAUAACAAUACUUAGAAUAAACAUCCAUUAUACUAAAUUUUUUUGGAAGAGAUCUAAGUAUAUAACAUACAAAUUAUAACAAAUAGAUGUACCUUAUGAAUGACUCAACCAAUUUGUCAUUUCAUGACAAUUAGUUAGUUUACGUCUUGUAUGUAAUUGACACGGAUAUCUUUCUUUAUGUAAUCUUCAUUAUCAAAAAGAACAUACAAACACAGAAGAUGUCAAGAUAAUAUAGAUGUUAACAAAAAUUAAAACAAAAAAGAGACAAAGAAAAUUAUCUGUAAAGAGGAAGAGCCAUGUAUCGACUGCAAAAAAAAAUUAAACACAAAAAGUCUUGCAAGAAUAGACCAAUUUGAAUUAAAAUUAAAAGCAAAAUAAUAUUAUGCAAAUUGUAAAUAAGAACAACUUGAUUAUAGGAACAUGUUAAAUUUAUUAAGAGUACAAAAAUGUCUUUAGUAUUGCAAAUGAUUAAUUGAAUUCUAUUUACCUAUUAUCCAUUUCACAUGAUUUCAUUUCAGGUUGUGUGUGCAAGUGCAGAAAUUGAUCAAAUAUGAUGUACAAUCUUAACUAUCUGUGAAUUUUGUUUCUAUUUCUAGUAAUAAUUUUGCAGUGUGACAAUUUGAAUCAUAUGUGGAUUUUGUUUCUAUUCUUAGCAAUAAUUUCGACAUGAGCUCACAGUAAAAAAAAAUAUUUACUUUAGGUUUCUUUGACAUGGUUCUUGCUUCAAAUCAUCCAAUGUGAGUUACCCUUCAUUUAUAAAAAGUGUUUUUUUAACUGAUAGGAGAGAUAAAUUUCACACAUAUAUAUAUAUAUAUAUGAUUUUAUAAUAUAGUAAAUACUACUUAAAAUUCCUAAUUGAAAGAAGUAUUUAAUUUUAUAAACUUUGAACUUGAAAAACUACUUAGAUGGUAAGCCAUAAAGUCAGAAAAUUUUGCUUAUAUAUUUUAGUAAAAAAAAAUUAUUUCUUUAAUUUUGAUUAAGUGUCUACUAUAAAGUAACAAUUUUGUUUUGAUUUUUAUUAUAAACAAUAAUAUUAAUUUAGUGAUAGAUUGACAUGUUUUUAACAGUUAAGUUUGAUGAGUUUUGACAGGUGUAUUUUUUCUACAUAUAAGGGUGAGAUCAUUGAUUCAUAUUUAUUUAUUAUUAAUAAAAUAAAUAAUUUUUCUAAUGUUUGUAAAUUUUAAUAAGAUAUUUGCAUUUGAAGAUGUCGUAUAUGCUUGGAUACAAUAAUAGGAACUAUAUUACCUUACCUAGAGAUUAAAUCCAACAAUCACGAGGGAUUGACCAACAUUGAAUUAGAGGUAAAAAGAUUAGGUUAUCAAUUGUUUCGUGAUUAUCUAAGACAAAUAUGGUGCUUGGUCAAUAUCUUUUUAAUUUAGGUUAUUUUCACUAUGGAAGAGGGUAUGGCAACAAGAAUUUAUUAUAUGUAUAGUUAACUUAUAAUGUUAUUUUUAAAUUUUACAAUAUUUGGCUUUAAAGGUAAACGGGUGGUCAGCAACCAUGUUAUCAAAUCUGACGAGGUUUUUCAUAUAUAUUGCAUUUAUAUGUUAAGAUCUGAGCAAUAUUGUUUGUUUGUGUGAUGUGUAAUUAGUGUGAAGACUUAAAAUAAACUAAGUCAUUUUUAUAUACACGGAGUAGAAUAAGCUAUAUCUCAGGAUUAACAACAUUCAUCUGAAUCCUUCUCCAAAUCAAUUAGCAUUUUAUCUUUAUUGCGGAUAUAUGUUGUCUUUGUCUAAAAUAAUUACCUAUUUAUUUAUCAUUGAAUUUUGCGUGUUAGUUAUAAAUAUUUUUUAUAUAUUAUAUUAUUUUAUGUAGAUCCGACAUUUUGGAUGUUAAAAAUAAUUUUGAGUUGACAAAUAUUCAUCACGAAACUUAUCUGAAGUAAGUUAGUUCAAGUAUUAUAUUUUCAUAUAUGUUUAGGAUUGUUUCAAAGGAAAAAAGUUAGUUCAUAUAUGUAUUAGAACCAAUACAUAUAUUCUAAAUUCUUCUUUAAAACGAUACCAUAUGUGAAGAUAUGAUACAUGAACUAACUUACCCCAGAGAGAAUUCAGGAUAAAUAUAUGUUAGCUUAAAAUUAUUUUUAAGCUCCAAAAUGUUAAACGUACAUAAAAUAAUAUAAUAUAUAAGAAACCUUUAUUAUUAGCACAUAAAAUUCAAUGCUAAAUAAAUAGAUAAUUAUUUUGGACAAAGACAACAUACCAACCGCAAUAAAGAUAAAAGGCUAAUUGAUUAGGAGAACAAGAAUCAAGACAAAUGUUGUUAAUCUUGACAUAUAGCUUAUGCUUAAUGUAUAUAUGAAUGACUUAGUCUAUCUUAAAUUUUCACAAUAAUUACACAUCACAAAACAAACAAUAUUACUUACAUCUUAACAUAUAAAUACAAUAUAUAUGAAAAGCCUUAUUCAAUUUGGUAACAUGGUUGUUGACCAACCGUUUACCUAUAAAUUCAAAUAUUGUAUAAUUUAAAAAUAACCUUUUCUUAAAGUCAUAAGUUAACUAAACACUAAACUCUUGUGGUUGGCAGAGUCUCUUCAUCCGCAAAUGUCCGACUAAUACACAUUUCCUCAUAAUAAAAAUAACCUGAAUUAUAAAAUGACAUUAACCCAUGCUAGUCAAUCUCUCCUAAUUGUUAGAUUUAAUCUCUAUGCAAGGUAUAAUUCUUAUUCUCAUAUCCCAAGCAUACACGUUAUUUAUAUUUACAAAUAUUAGAAAAAUAAUUUAUUUUAUUAAUAAUAAAUAAAUAUAAAUCAAUGAAUUCAUUCUCAUGUAGACAAAAAAAAUAUACAAAAUUUGUUAGUUUUGGAUUGUUCAAUCCUAAAGCUAAAAACGCAUUCCAUAUCGUGCAAUUCAAAAGUCAAUUUUGACUUUUAUAAUAUAUAUUAAAUAAAUAAUUUUUUAUAUAGUUCUAUUCAUGGUUAUCAAACUCGCAAGUCAACUUGUUGACUCGUCCGAGUAGUUGACUUGCGAGUUUGCGUGUCCGCAUGCCCCCUUACCUGGUAGACUUGCUUUUUAGUAAACUCGACAGACUCAGAGUGAACUCAGUGAAAUCGCAAGUCUAGUGCAAGUUCACAAGUUGAACUAGGUUUUUUUUUAACCCAAAAUGGUGUUGUUCUGAAUGGGGAAAAUUAAAUGAAAUAAACUACGGGUUUCGCAUUUCAUUUUCGUAUUUCGUUUCACUUUGCGUCUUCUAUGGAGUGCAGCAAUUGUGGUGAUCAAACAGAACAAUCACGCGGUGGUGGCAAUUAGGUGAUAGGGUCGUGGCUCUCGUAUAUAAUGUUAGAGAUGGAUGGUGUGAAAUAGUAUAUUUGUAUGAACUUCUUUAUUUGAGACUUUAAAGUUAUAUAAUUCUCAUUCAAGACUAAAUGGAGUUAUUUACUAUUAUUUUUUUUUUUAAUAUGAACGUAACUCUUACGAGUUUACGAGUCUACGUAGAAGCUCCCACGAGUCUACGUAGAAGCUCCCACGAGUCUACGUAGAAGCUCCCACGAGUUUGACAACCAUGGUUUUAUUAUAUUAUUACUAUUAUUACAUUAUAUUAUUAGAUUACUAGCAAAACACGAUCUUUGGGAUCAUAAUCUCUUGGUGUGCAAUAUAUUUCAGAGGUGGUUAAUCAACAAAAAAAAAAACUUUAACUAGACAAUAUGCUUCCUCUGUUUUCUUUUCCCUUUCCAAAGAAGCAACAUGUCAAACGAAAAAGAAAAAAAUGGAAACAUAAUUCAUUUUAUUCAUUAAUCAAAUCAAAUUUGCAAGCAAAAUGAUAGAUAUUUCUGAAAUGUAUUCAUCGUCCACUCACUCGUCUUUGUAUGGUUGAAUUUCACCUUCAGGGUAAUCUCCAAAUGGAAACAUGUCAAUAACAGAAAUUGAUGGUGGAUCCAUCUGUUCUAAAAGUUCUUUCUCUUUUCCUGAUCACCCAAAAAACAAUCAGAAAUUAAAAAAAAAUCACCAUCAAAAGAACAAGCAUAAAUGGCAGAAGUCAAGUCCUCACUUGUUUGUAGCUUUCUUCUUUUUCUUCUUUGAAACUUCUGUCAUAAGAGAAAAUGAUUCAACAUUAACAACAAAUAUCAUAACAUAUCAAUUAUAAAAUAAUUCAAAAGUAAAGCAUCACCAUAAUGGCAUCACCAAGCAAAUUUAUGUUCCUCACUAGUGAAGUGAUGAAGUUGGAUGAUAUGGAAUCUAUGUUUUCAUGUGUGUUGAUCAUUAAGUCAUCAUCCUUCAAGAAGUUAACAUAUUGAUUUUGUUGAAACAAUGUGUGACAACAUCAAAUCCAAUCCAGUUAAUUCGCUAAUUCGCUUGAAAACUCAUUUGUGCAAAUCAUGUAGGCUCAUGAUUUUGAAGACAAGUGUACACAAGAAUGGUAUUUAGGUAGCUUGACUAGUAUAUUUAGUUAAAAUUUUAUUUAGGUAUUUGUUUUUCAAACUCUUUCAAUCAAAUCAAGUUUUACGACAUUCGAGAGACAAUAUUUUAGUUGGCCCGGGGAAAAUAAGUUAAAGUAGGAUUGAAAUAACUAUGUUUUACAUUUUCUUUCUGUGUUGUACUCGUGUACAUCACAAUAUUACAAUUGAGAAACAAAGCUUCUAAUUGUCAUUUGACAAAAAUGGUAUAUUUAAGAAAAAAAAUUACUUCAGGUUAGAAUGUGUGAAAUAAAUCCUGCUGCAGGAGACAAAGGUAAUCACCUUUUACAUGCAAUAAAAUUGAAUUCACCUUUUACUCACAGGUUAUAAACAGGACUGUGGCAAUUAAAAAAUAUUUAUAUUAGGUGAAUUCAUUUUGCAUAAUUACUACCUUUACUGUCAUCUCCUUCUUUUAGAGAUGGUGAAGAAAAGUCACAAAUUCCUUCUACAUGACUUGGAAGCUCUGCCGUUGCAUUUUCUUCAAGCAAGUUCUUCAAUUGAGAAUUUCCCUCCACCAUGAAAGAAAACCUGCAUGCUCAAUAAAAUUAGAAUGGUCAGUUCUACAAAACACCCCAAAUUGGAAUGGUCUCUCUUUUCCAGUAAACUCAAUGUCAAAAUCUAGGAUAUAUCAAAAGUCAACAAUUCAUAAAUUCAAGGUACAACAAAGAGAGACAAGUUACAAAGUAUAGAAGGAAAUGACUAAAUUGAAUCCAAGAAACCAUUAUAAAUUUUACUAAACUCUGAGGGAAGUCGCAGAUGAAAUUCCGCUAACGAAAUGCCCCCUGCUCGUGAUUGGUAAUUAGUAUAUUAAAAUUAUAAUAGAUAAAUUUAACCAACCAUGAUAAUUACAAACGGUAGAUAGUAAAUCAAAUCAAAAUAGCAAAUGAACAAAACGACCAUAAUGUUUAUGGUUUACAUCAAACUAAACGCAGGGUACAAACACGCCAGAAGAAAUUCCAAAAUUCAGCACAUACAAAACAUCUCCGGAAAUAGCCAUAACUAUGACCACGACGACUACGACGAACCAAUUAUAACAGAAAUUGAAGCAUGUAAAAUUAAGCACAAAACAUCCCAAGAAAAUUAGAUUCAAAAUUGCAGAGUGAUAGAUCAGUGCUUUUAGGAGACACAUAGUAGAAAACGAAACAAAAUAUUACCCAAGUUAUGGUUUAGGAUUAGGGUUUAUGGUUAUGAUUUAGGGUUUGAGCUUCUGGGUUUGGUGUUUAUGGUGUGGGGUUUGGUGUUUAAGUUAGGGUUAGGGUUUAGGGGUUAGAGAUUGGGACCCACUCUGGGACCGGGAAUGGCUUGGGUAACGGAGCCGGUGAACUCAACGAGGUCCAAAGCCUUCUCCUGAAUCCAUGGCAGCUCCUCCUCCACUUCCACUUCCACUUCCACUUCCUUCUCUUUCUCUUUCUCUUUCUCUUGCUUCGUAGCGUUGUUGAAGGAGUUUGGCGUGGCUAAGCAUGUUGUUGAAAACGGUGUGCGUCGUGGAAAGAGAAGAGUGAAAGUUGUGCAUUUGGUUGAGUGAAAAGGAAAUGGCGAGUGUUUUCUGGGAGGAAGAAACUGAGAAGCAAUAGAACUACACUGAGAAGAAGUAAAAGUAAAAGCCAUUGGCUCCUCUUUUUAGGUUUAAUUCUAUUUUCCUCAUUUUCAUUCCUUCAUUCUAUUUUAAAUUAUUAUUUCUUAUCUAAAAACAUAUCAAAUCGUAAUGCUAAUUAAAUAUGAGUAAUUAAAUAUUUCUUAUUUCUAUCUUAUUUUAUAUUAGUUUUUAAAUUAAAAGUUAACUAAUAAUAUUAAGGAGUCAAAAUAUUAUUAUUUUUAUGUCAAUUAUUUAGAAUUAAUAGAUUAAAUAUUAUACUAUCCAUUAAAAAUAUCCAAACGGUAAAAUGACGUUUUUAUUCCAUUUUAUCUUAUUAUAUUCCAAUUCAUUUUGUUUUAUUUCAUUGCAUCCCAUUAUAUUCUAAACCAAUCUCAUUUCAUUAAGAACCACCCAUCCAAGAAUAUAAUUAGUGUGAUGAAGAUUAAACUAUUUUUUUUAUAAUAAAACCAUUUGGUACUCUUGAUAUUAAAACUUGAUUUUCUUCAUACUAAAACUUAGAUUUCCUUUAAAUUCAAAUUGUCUGUGUUUCUUUCAUUUCCAUGAACUUGCAUUUUAGAAUUUCACAUUUUUUCCUAAAAGACUUGAUUUAAACGUGUUUAAAAACACAUUAAAAAUAUGUCAUAUUCAAAACACGACAUCUAUAAUGAUUACUUUGUAAGUUAUAUUCGAAACAAGAAAAAUUACAUUUAGAUAGAAAUUUGAUCUACUUUUUAAAUGAAUUACUAUUUUCUGGUUUAGUUUGAGACAUUUUGAUCAACUUUAAAAAAUUAAAAACAUUUCCAAUAUAAAAUAUUAAAAAUAAAAUCUAUUUUAAAUUUAGUUUUUGUUAAUGAAAUUAAUUUCUAAUUUUAGAAACAAUAUUUUGAUAUAUAAAUUAUAUGAAAUAUGUAUAUGUUUUAACAAAAUAAUAUUAUUUUUAAUUUUUUAAAUACAAUGAUUAUUUUAUAAAAAAAUGUCAACUCAUAGUUUAAGAAUUAGUUAACCAAAAUACUUUUUAAAAUGAAUUAGUUUGAGUUAAGGUGAUUUAAAUAAUUUAUAUAUCAAAACUAAACAUGUUAAGAGGAAUUAUUUUAGAAAGAUAAUGUCAAAAUGUGGCAUCAAUGGAUUGAGAGAAUUAGGGCACAUAACCUUAGGUUUUCAAAGUAGCUUUCUUAAAAUAAUAUAAGUUUAUUUCAUUCUUGUAAUCAAGACCCUUAAAUAGCAUCUCACAAUGAAGCAAUAGAACUUUUUUCACACUGAAAUUGAAAUGAAAUGCAAAGUAGAGCUAAAGAGCUUUAAAACACAAAUAUAAGAAGCAUUAUUUGAUAGAUAGAGAGGAGUUGGCACUGGUAUUUGAAUGCUUGAUGGCUACUUCAAGAGUCCAAAAGGCGAUCCAUGACCAGUUUCAUAACUCUAGGAGCAUCAACUGUAACAGCUACCUUUACGGUUGGCUUAUUGGACCAUUCAUGGAUUUCACCAAACCUGAAAACCAAUGGAACACAAAUGCAAAAGUUGACUAUGAGUUUGUAGCACAUACAUGGUGAAGAACAAAAUGAAAUUCACAAAAGAGGAUUAUGUCUAACUCCAUUUCAUUGGUCUUUUCAUUGUUGGAAGCCUUUAAUGAAAAAGACCCACUACUUGGUCCUCCAAACCAAAGGUUUCUUAUGUUUGUCACUAAAUUAUUCCCUAAAAUUCAUCCUAGUGGAGACUGAAUUGGUGACACAAAGUACUGAUAUGGUGACAGCUUAAUCUUUGGAUGAUCAAGUAAAGGGUUCAUCAAAAGAAUUAGCAGAUAAAGGAAAAGGAAGAGAGAAGAGAAAAGGUGAAUUUCUUUCUUCCCUUUCACUAAAAAGGAGAUGUCUAUUAAUUGAAAGGUGAGUUAAUAGUACAGAUGAUCUAUUAAUAGUAUAAACAUGCAUAUUGAUAUGGCAAGUAUAAGGGUCAUUAUAGAUAACUACUUAAUCUUAUAAACCUUUUUAAUAAAUAUAAUUUUCAAGCAAUCCUCAACAAAGCUAUGUCCUACAUGAAACAAAUCAAAGAAAAAUAGAUUAUAUGGGAAAAUAAAUCUUGACUGAUGAUACUUUGGACGAGAUUUACACCAUUUGGGACCAACAAGUUGUACUGGUCUAGUCUUAGAUAAUGCUCAUGUUUUUUAAUGUUUACAAUAAAUAUUCUUAUAGGAGUACACAUUGUAAAAAUUUUCAAACAGUUAAGGGAGAUUAGUGUAAUGUAUGAGGAGUAUUAGUAUAAUGCAUUGAAAAUAAUUAAGGGGCUUUCUGUAGAUCUCUAAAAUGGAGGGAUAAGUGAGACGUGUAAUAUACUCUAAAAGUUUUUGUACAUCAAAAGGAUAGUAUAAAAAGUGCAUAAAUCUAACAAAUUAGAAACAAAAAUUCAAAUCUUAAUACUCUAAGGUCCAAAACCCUCGGGAUUAAUGGUUUUGAAUGCUGUUAUGAAGAUUAACAAACUAUUGAAGAUGCAUUGUUUUGAUGUCACAGAGAUGAUGUUUUUUUGGCUUGGUCUUGUGAGUUUAUGUUAAGCUUUGAAGUGCAGAUCCUUAGCUUGAAAGGAGAAGGAUCAAGAGUAAAUUGAUCAAUAAAAGAUAAGAAAUAUUAGAACAAAGGCUUACAACAUGAGAAGACUGAAGAGUUCUACUCGAAACUAAGAAUACAAGCUCAAAAGGAAAUGCUAAGAGCUCAAGAAUCCUGAUGAAAGAUGAGAAGAGAACAUAUAAUAGAAAAAUUCAUUUCUGCACUAUUUUGAUGUUAAAGAAAUCUAAUACUACCUUAACAAACUAUUUUGCAUGAUUUAAGUGUUAGAACUCUUAGAAAUGUGUUUAUGUCUAACUCCAUUCUAUAAAACCAAUUUAUAAUUACAUCUUCCACUUAUAUAUUAUAAUUUGAUCUUAUUUUUAGUCGAUUUUGGAUCUCCAACACACCUCCACACAUACUGAAGAAUGAACAUCUCAAGCGUGAUAUUAGAUAUUUAUGGGUGGCCUAAUAGGAAACCAAUAACAGUGACAUAAUAGCCCAAAGAACAUGACUACGAUAGACUCUUAUGGCUUUGAUAUCAUCUUAGUAAAUAGGUAAGUCUAACUCAACUUCACAAAAUUGGUUUGUAAAGUGAGGAUUGCAAAACACAAUAUAUAUUAUAAUUUGACUUUAUUCUGUCAUCUCCAGCUUCUAAUGGUGUGGAUAACUUAAAUUAUACUUUUUUCCUUAAUAAAAAGGUGUGCAAAAGCACCACUAUGCAAGUCUAAGAUCUUAACUAGGUCAGCAUCUUAGCCCGUAUCAAUCAUUUGUAGCACACUAAGAAACCCAUAUAAAGAAAUAACGAAACAAAACAUGUGAAAAUUAGACUUAAUUCUAUAGGAACUUGCUCCAUUUGCCAGUGAUUUCUACCUUUUUUGUUUGUUGUAGAGUAAUGUCAGUCCCCUUGUAAUGCCACUCGUUUGGACUCUGACAAUACCCUCUAUACAAGUUACAAGUGAAGGAUCAACAGCAGCAAGAACCACAGUUGGAUCAUGAAGGUAAACCCCUGAAUACAAAGUAAGAGUAAUUAGUAACUUAGAUUAUUAGAUCUCUACCAAUUCUGCAAUGCACUAAGACAAACCUUUGGUAUUGUAUGACUCCUGAUGGUAAGAGAAAUAUACAUCUAAGAUUUUGUGCAGGUAUUGAGCAAAUUUUCCAUUCGAACUUGCCAAAAUUUCUCGAUCAGAACCUAGUCAUUUUUGUUUUUUAGAUGAGUAAACCAGAACAGUGGUGAGUCUGCUGCCAGUGAAAGUUAAAUGACAUACACAUAAUUAAAACAGAACCAUGCUGAUGUUGUUUAACCUAUGUUAACUUCUAAUCAAUACUAAAAAAGUGUAAAACACACAACAGCAAAUUUCAGAGUAGGUUUCAUAAAACCAAGGUUUCCAAAUAUUAUAGAUGAAUAUCAUUCAUGAACCUUCAUCAAACAGUUUAAACCUUUGUAAGAGUUGGCCAUUGAUGACUAUCAAAGGAGAAAAAGUGGUUCUUGAAAUUGGUCACAGUUUUUGGAUUGUCAUAAGAACCUUAGGAGAACCACACCAUGAAACCUAGCUAUCAUAGUUAAAGAGCACAAGGCCUUUUAAACCCCAUACUAGAAUCUCAUACUUCAAAUGUAGGACUCCCUCCCAUGCCGGGGUAAACACAACAUGCUUCAAUAGAAAAAAAAACCCUUAUCUUCCAAAAAAAUAAUUGGGGUUACAUAGACAGUAAAUGUACUACACACAGUAAUCUAUUUCACUACUUUUCCAGCAACAUUUCUAUGGGUUAGGCUCAGCUGAACUUUAUAUAAGGAAACUUAUAAUAAACUAAAAAUAUUCCUACAAAAUGUUGCUAGAUCAACUGUGCGUGAAGAAAGAUCAAAUAAAAUUACUAUAAGUUGAAGAAAUAGUAAACUAAACAAGAUUUAAAAACGGAAAAGUUGGAUAAUAUGACUACAUAAGUAUAGCAAACAGGAGUGCAAGGAAAUUAGUGAAAGGGGUACUUGUCAGUAUAACUUGAUGGGUAACAUUUAUCCCCAGUGCAAGUAUAUCUGCCCCACUGGUAAAUACAACGUCUGCAGCAUCUGGAUCACCAAAUAUCUAGAAUCAAAUCCAACCAAUGAGUUAGGCAGAUUGAGUUGUGAAUGGUAUAAUAUUUUUAUGGAAGUUAUUAAGAAUUUGAAUACAGGAUGGAAAUACUGACAUUUGCUUCAGCAGCUGGAUUCACAUUGCCAUUUACUGCGAAAGCCCCCCCAAGAAUAACAAUCUGCCCAAUGUUCUUCACAAACUCUGGAUCAAGCUCUAUAGCCUGCAAAAAUAUAAUAUUGUCAUGAAAUGGAACACAGAAUGAAGAGUAACAUGAAAAUGCCUUACUGAGAAAUUGUAGACAUAUCAUACCAAAGCAAUAUUUGUGAGCGGGCCCAGUGCCACCACAGUGACUUUCCCAGGAUUAAGUUUUGCUUGACGAACCAAAAAAGAAGCAGCUGAUUCUUCAAUGGGCUUCCCCUUUGGGGGAGGAAAAUUUUGGUUGCCAAGUCCAUCUGCACCGUGGACAAAAUCUGCUAUACGAAGUUUUGUUCCUUUCUGCACAAAGAGACAAGGAUGACAAUAAUUAGCAGAAUCAAAUGCAACAAAAUACUGCAGAAGCAGAACUUUAAAUUUCCUACUGCUAACUCGAUUCAACUUUUUCAGUGAGGUGCUCAAAUACAAUGCAUUCUAAAAGAGAGAAAAAAAAAAACAGAUUUCAAAAGACAGCCAAAAUAGUCUAUUUAUCUGCAGUAUGAAAAUUGAUAAAAGUUUGGCGUUCAUUCAGGUUGAAAUGAGAAAAAAGAACAGCUUGUUGACUGUAAACAAUUACUAAUACGCAUUUGUUCUUCACUGAAAACUUCAAGUGUGCUGACAAUAUAAUACAAAUAGUAUAAAGUACCCAAAUUAUAUGAUUCAAUCAAAGGUCAAAUAUACUUAUUAGUUCUAAAUGUUCAUAUAACAUUCACAGCAAUUCCCAAAACAAAAACGAAAAAGUAAAGGCGAUAAAGAUCGAAGUAUGAUCCACAUACAGUUAAUGUCAGAUGUGUUCCUUCUGCCACUGGAAUAUCUGUUCUUCCAGCAACCUCCAACUGCAUAUGCAAGUAAAGAAGGAGGCUUUUACCAUUAAUAAGUAAAGGGUCAACUUCAUUCACCAUAGAAAACAAACCCUUUUGGAAAACAGUCCCAAAAUUCUUACCAAAUGCAAGGCAUUUCUGGUUGCCAGAGUGGUGUAAACAUUUCCAUAGAUGGUUGUGAGUCCAAUAACUUCAAUCUCUGGUGAUUGUAGAGCAACAAAUAUUGCCAUGGCAUCAUCUACAGAAACCAGUGGCAAUUCUCAGAGAAACAAGGAAUUGAUAAAAGAAAACAGUAAAAGUUUGUUCUGAGAUCAGAAGUAGAGAAGCUGAAACUUACAACUUCAAAUUGAUUUGGAUUAGCAAAAGAAAUAGCAAAGUUAAAAAAUUACGUUACCAAUGCCAGGGUCGGUAUCGAUUAUGAUCUUCUUUGGUUCGGUAUCGGCUGCCAUAUCUUGCAGAACUAAUGACUUUACUUGUUUGAGAAGCAGAUCAGAAUCAGAAUCGGAAUUGGAAUUGAUGUUGUUAUCUCUUAUUGGAGUGGAGAAUACAAAGAUAAAUAUACCAUUGUUUAUUCAUUCCCAUGAAUUAUUUAUUUGAAAGCAAUUCACAUGUAAUGGUCUCAUAAACUUAUUAUAAUAUUGUACACUGCAAUGAGCAAUCAACACCAAUAUUUAAAAUCAAAAUCAAGAGAUUAACCUUUGGAUCAUGUUUUGUAGUGAAAAUCUGAGGUAGUGAGGGAAAAGCACUUUGCCCUUUCUACUUCUCAAACUGCAAACUCAUCUGGUUAUGUCCAACCAAAAUGAAUCUUGCAAAAGAUUUGAACUAAAAUAGAUUAUUAAUAAAGUAUUAUAAAAUUUAUAUUGUUUAAAUUGAAUCAAAUUUUCUAAGUGGAGAUGUUGAAAUAAAAAAUCAAUUAUUAAUUCUCCUUGUUCAUGUGAUUUUGUAGUAGACAAUUUUCUGUAGGCACAUGAUACUUUUACGAUAUUCAAAAUCUACACUCUCAUCUUACAACUAUUUUUAUUAACUUUUAAUUUAAUAAUUUAAUUUAUAUUUUUAAUUUAAUAUUUUAUUAUUAUAUGUAGUUGUUAAAUGAUGUAAGAGAAAAUAUAAGGUCUAAAAGUAGUUUUUUUCCAUUUCUUAAUAUAUAAAACAAAAUCGUAUUAAUAAUUAUAAUAAAAUACUACAAAAAUGUGAUUUCGUAUCAAUCAAUAAAUUACUAUUAGUGUAUUAUACAUUAUCAAUCUCAUUUUGAAAUUGAUGGUACAGAUUUAUCUAAAAAAAAUAAUUGAAUAUCUAAUUCAACCGUUUAAGGAAUCAGAUUAUCAAGUGAAUGAAAUGUUUAACUAACUUAAUGAUUAUCUCGUCGAUUAUUCCUGUUAGUCUACAUCAACUAACAUGAAAGUUCACAUAACUUUAUAAAUACAUGAAUCAAGAUUUGACUAAAUUCAAUUACUAAAUAUCAAAUAAUGAUUUUAACAUUAAAAUAACUUAAAAAUAUACCAUUUUUUCACGUUCUAGCCAAGAUCCAACAAGAACCGAGAUUUCAUUAUGAUCAAGAAUACCAGGUCUUAAGAGUGUACUAGAAUAGACAUUUCCUACCUAUAAAAAUAAUUAAAUAUUAUUUAAAGUCAUAAAAGAAAUUCACAUAAUAUCCUUAUUAAUGUGAUUUUACGGCAAACAAUUUUUCUGCUUUAUAUUAUAUAGAUAUAAAAGCUGACUAUUAUAUAUAAUAACAUACUAUAGAUAUGUAGGCGAAAAUAUCAUUAUUUCUAAAAGUAAUAUAAAAAUGUAUAAUGAUAAAUAAUAUGGGGGAACUCAAGUUAUUAAUAAAAAAAAAUUAACAUUUUAACAAACUUCCAAUAUGCGGAUGCGAAAUAAAUCUGAUCCUAAUAAAAAAAAAUUAUAGAUUUAAAAUCAAUAAAUUACUAAUGGAAUACUGUGUAGCAAUUAUUAUUAUUUAAAAAUUUUAACUUUUAAAAUUAAAAAUUUAAAGAAAAAAUGAAGUUUUAAAUUUUAAAAUAAUCUUAUUUAUAACCAUAUACCAAGCUUUUCAUUCUUUCUCAACACAUCUAAAUGAAAAUCUGAAUUUUCUCCUUCUGAAAAAGGGGAUAUAUCUACCUUCAACCAAUGGUGAUCAGUCAUGGGGAUAAGUGAAAACACCAAUGAAACAGCAGUUCAUUUUUUACCUUGUUUUCCUUGAGAACACAGAUCAUAGAUGGUGAUAUAGUGGCAUUUCCGAUUGCGAAAUCUUAUGCCAAAAAUAAAGAUCCAUCUUUAGAAAAGUAAUGCAUUUGAAUCUCCACGAUACAAAACUACCAACGUCCAAUCAUAAUAGUAAGGCAUUUACUAUAUAAUUUUACAAUAAAUUCAAGAAAACAUCUUCAAGUUAUAAGAAAUAUGGAACGCCUGUCCUGGGGCCUCUCAUCUGGUUAUUCUCCUCUGUUUCAGUGAAAAAUUUAACUUCUCUCUCCUGUUUCAAGAAAAAAAAAAUGUAAGUCUAUAAACAAAAUGCUGUGAGCAACAUCACAGCCACGAAAUCCAAGCAUCCUAACAAAUGUUUCAACACUCAAAUAUCAGGCAUGCCGCAUAAUAGUAAUUUUCAUUAUGCCUGACGGGAAUUCUAUAUAAUUACAAGCUUAAUAACAAAUAAAUAGCAGGGAUGAAGGAGAUGUGAUGUUGACUCUAUUAUCCUAUCUAGACAAAUCCAGCGUUACUAUCACCUCAAUGGCAAGUACAAUUACCACAAACACCACGAAAACACAAAUAAUAGUUCAAAACUACAUUCCUUUUCUUAUUUGGGGUCCCGAAGAAAGUAUAUUUUGUCACCCUGGUGGAAACACUAUGAGAAAACUUUUUCCACAACCAUAGUCACUAAAACAGUAUAAAGAAUACAGAAAGAAGCAGGGUCAGGUGAAAAUUGUGUCUAUCUCUUCAUGGCCCCUAAAUAGGUGGGGCAUAUCAAUAUUUGUGCAUAUUUAUGGACAGAUCGGCAAAAGGUUAACAUAUGACAAGGUCAGUUGAAAAGUUAACAUGAGAGGGUCGAUUCUCAUCUCAUUAUAUGAAUCUUUAUUCAUACAGAAAUUAAUUGAUAUAACUCAAAGCUAUGGAUCCAUAUUGCAAAUGUAAAGUAAUCCAGUGAGUAUAAAUAAAUUGAAGUGUUAGUAUUUUGUAUCAGUAUCACAAUUACUAAUUCUCAAAAGAACUAUAUUGUAAGUUGCCUAUACAUAACUUCCCCUUUUCACUAGAUCUUUGAAAUUUCAAACGUAAGAGUGGUAACUUGACCUUUUCUUUCAGAAAAAGGGAACUCAGUUUGCUGCCCCCAAUUUUCAAACGUUUUGUCAGAAUAAUUCUAGUUAAUGUUUGUUUACUAUCUUCUGCCUCGCUUGCCUCAAGCAUUGUAUUCAUCCCAUUUCUAUGGUGUGCAGACAAAGCCUGACAAAUGUUCGCAGGUCAUUGUUAAAGCCUGACACGACUUGUGAUUUGUAAAGCUCACUAAUUUAAAAAAAUUCUUGGUUUAAGUUUGAUGUUCCUUGUGUUAAGUUAUCUAUAUGUAACAGUUACUUCAGCUCGAGUGGCUGUGUAGUUGAUAUGGAAUGGUUUUAGUUCUGUAUACGUUUACUAGAAGAGAAACCACAACAAAUGUUUUAGUUGUCUUUGUAUUAUGAAGCUGAGUGUUAUUCCACUCACUAAGCUAUUUCAUUUCUCAUUUCAUCCAAUCUUCUCUUAUUUCUAUACAAGUCAUAUUUUACCCAUCAAUAAAUUCGUCAUUGUUUUAUUUGAUGGUAUUGUAACACAAUGUCUCAAUUUAAGGUUAGUUAGUGUUUGUGAAUUUAUAUUUCAAGCAUUCAUCUAAACCAAAACUUGAACACCAUGCACAACAAAAUAUAUGCAACUUCAUAUUUAAUAACUUUCUUGUAUAAAUACUUUACAGGAUUUUAUAUUCAUUAAUAUUUUAAUCAUGUUCAUAAAUAAAUAUUUUAUAGGAUUUUAGUUUGUUUUAAGUAUAAACCCACUCACCACUUGCCUAUUUACUCCAUGUAAGAAAAUCCAGGCAAAAGCACAAUAACUCUAAGGUUAUGCGAGUAAAUUUUUUUAUAGAAAAAGGGACAAUAAACUCGAAUCCAUAACCAGGACAAGCACUAAUACUACUAAAAGAGAAACACCUUCAGUUGCUUGCAACCUCAUGUAUUCAGAUUUCAGACUCAGCAAGCAGCAGCUUAAAGGAGAGAACCCCUAUCGCCUUUUCUUACUUAAUGGCCUACAUAUCACUAUCCAAUUACAAGAUAGUAUAAAAACCACUACCAUGGAUCCAGAGUGCGGUUCUCUGAUUCUAUCAAUACUUGAUAAAUACCAAUAACAAUCAUUUAACAUUUUAUCUUUUGGCACACCAUCUGUGACAGACUACAUCAUACAGCCAUCAGUAUUCAAACUGUAUUGGACUCACCAGUUUAUCACUCAAUAAACCAUUCUCUGUGCUGAAUAGCACCAUUCAUAUAUUCAGAGAAAAAAAGUUCCCCACUAGUAAGAAGACUCGAAUCAUCCUCCAUCUUUCAAGUAUUAAGUUCUUUAAUAUGAAGGUCAUACAAGAAUGAAUUCUACUAUUUGAUUUAUCAAAGAAAGAGGAGGUGGUUUAAAAGUUCUUCCUUGAUACAAGAUAAGCUAUAAAACAAAAGCCCCACACACAUCAUAAGGCAGAAUGAUGCAGUAACUAAGAUAAUCCGGAAAACAUUUAAUAAAACAAGUUUCGAUUGACUCACCAUAUUUUCAUUGAAACUAAGAAUAGAAGCUACAUUUCCACAACGGUAACAGUAAUUAGGUGCAGACCAUACCUGCAAAAUUAAAAUGAAUUACUCUAUUGAUCUCGUAAGUCUCAAAUAAAACUGUAGUUUAUAUUUUUAUUCAAAAGUUAAAUUGAUAGGAACUUGGGUAUUAUGGGAUGCUUGGUGGAACAUUUACAUGUUCGGUUCUCUUCUCUUAGUAGCUAGCUUUUGAAGAUGGGUUCCACAAGAGUUUGGAUACUUAUAAAUUGGUAUCAAAGUCAGGUUGUCAGUGUUGACACUAAAUGUCAUUGAGUGAAGUGUUGUAGAGUGAAAGCCAAAUUGAGUAGUAAGAGAUGCUCAAUAGAAUAUUUAAGUACUUGGUUGCCUCCUUAAUAGCUAGCUUUCGAGGGUUGUUCCACCAAUGUUUGGAUACUUAUCACAAAUACAACAACAAAUAAACUUGAUCCCACAAGGUACGGUUGCCUAGAUGUACUUGUCAUAUUAGAAACCGAAGAAUUCAGGAGAACCAUUUAAAGAAGUAUUUGAUAGUUUCUAACUACUAUUUCUUAGGGCUUCACUAUUGCUAUAUUUUUCAUCCAAGUUUCUCUUAUCCUUCAAUGUGAGACAAAUCCUUGCUCAAGGUAUUGGCACUGCCCAUCCCUAUAGUUAAUUAAAAGAAUGAAAAAUCUUAAAUUUUCAAAAGAAACAGAUACGUACAGUUACAAGGCCUUUAUCCUGGAACAUAUACUUGAGACCUUCUUGAACAAGUUGGUGCGCUCGACAAACAAGAUCAAGAUUGUUUAUGUGAUUGAACUGCAUGAAAAUAAUGCCCUUGUAAAAUUCACACAUAAUGUUCAAUACUUCAAUUCAAUAAGCAAUUCACUAUUGAAUUGCAUUACCUCAGAAGUGACCCGGGAUCCAAAAAGCCAACCAGCUCCACGGGGACUGACUGCCCAUGUUUCAAUAUCUUCAGGAUCACUCCACAUCAGAUCACAAAAUGGCCCCUCAUGAGGAAUUUCACAAUUCCUUUCAAUGACCCUUAUCUGUCAAAUGGAUAUUUAUUGUUAUAUUCAAAGAAUCUGUUUCUCUAUAUCUAUAUCUAUCUAUCUAUGUACACACACACACAUAAGGAUUCACCUAUAAAAGGCAACAUAAAUUCAGUUAAACAAAUACAUGGCUGUCAAACUCACAAGUCAACUUGUCAACAGGCCAAUAAAGUAGCUACCCAAGGAAAACAGAGUUGAAGUGUAGGAGAUGGAAAUGUGGUGUUUAGACCUGGGUGGAAUUGGGCAGAGGCCAGUAGACUUGUAUAUCCAUGGGCUUUUUGUUUCUUGUCUUCACUUUUUGGUUAAUUGGCUGGUGCUGUACUCUUUGUUGAUUGGUUAGUUAGUAUAUGGUACUCCGUUCUUCAUGAUUGAUUGGCUGGUUGUGUUGAGUGGUAAUCUAGUUGAUUUGUUCAUUGCUAAUGUUGAAUACUGACCAUGUACAUGGCAUUCAAAUUUAAUUGCAUACUACAAUGGGUUAUAGGGGUUUAAAAUGUUUUCUUCUAUUGGGUGAUCACAAGUUCAUAGAGAGUUGAGUUUGACAACCUUGAAAAUAAUACUAAAUGAACACAACAACCUGUGAAAUGGCUGUUUUUUAUAAUGCUGAAAUAGCAACUUCAAGAAUUUAGACAACUAUUCAUCAAGAAUUGUUUUUCAUUCUGUUAAAUAUUAAACCCACCAAAUGAAAUAAGAAACACCACACAGUAUUUUUAAUUCAAACAAAAACAGAUCACAUUAUUAAUUGAUUAGUAAAAAGUAAGGAAAAGGGAACACAAGUGUAUCCAACUCGAUAAAGAAUUACUAAUUUGUUAAAAUAGUGAUAUUUUAUUUUCAGAAGAAGCUUGGAAGCAUGAGGCAUAAUAAGGGAGAAUCAGCAAGCUAACUUAAAAGUUUAAAUCCAUUUUGAUCCCCAUAGUUUUGCCAAUGUGUAAUUUUGAUUCCUAUAAUAAUUUAAUAGCUUUUUUAGUCCCCUAAAUUUUCAAACUUGAGCAAUUCUAGAACAUAAUAUAUCAUCUAAUUACUAAAAAAAUGUAACAUAUCUUUUGUGAUAAAAAAUACUAAAGUUCAUAAUUAAAUAUUGUUAUUUAUUAUUUUACAUAAAUAAGUAACUAAUAUUGUUACCAUUGACGGACAUGUCAACAUUUUCUGUUAGAAAUUGAAAAACAUAUUAGCAGUGCACUAUAAUAGCUUAAUUUUAUAAAACUAAAGAACCAAAUGUACAAUUAAACUUUUAUAGGCACCAAAAUUGCACAUUCACAAAAUUAUAAGGACCAAAAUUUAUUUAAACCUAAUCUAAAUUAAUACUUCACACUGUGUAGCAAGUUAAGAGGUAACUUACAAGAACAUCAUAACACAUAGUCAUCCCUAAAUAUGAUGUAUCCAAACACAGAAAAGGUAGGACAGGCAUACUCACAUAAACAAUGUAACAAACUUAAAUGAACCUUAAACUACGACAAUAUUGAGCUUGACCAGCAACUGAAAGCAAAGGGUAGAGAGAGAACCUGAUCAAUUGUUCGAAUGUCUGGAGAAAGGCCACCAUGAACACAAAGCACCUGAGUCAACCAAAGCAAAUAAAAGACUUUUUUUUUCAAACAGAAUUUGCAAUAAAAAAACCUGGAGCACUGCCUACAUGUGCAUUUGGAAAAUAUAAGGACUAGUGGAGAGAGUAAAAAGUGAUUUACAGUUCCAUCUAUAAUUGCGGAAAGGGUAAGAUAGUCAAAAACAUCUGUACAGUAUCGCCAAGCAUUAGCAUUCCCAUACUUCCUCUGGCAUUCAUCAUAAAAUCCAUAGACCUAGUAAAACAUAAAAUUACAAUAUUAACAUAAAAUGGCAUGACAGAAUUCAACAUUUCUAAUUUUGAAUCUCAGAACUUCCACAAUUCACACCUCAUCUUUAUGAUCCAUAAACAGAAAUUCAUAAACAUUUUCCACUACAGAAUAAGUUAAAAGGAAAACCUAGGGAGAUAGCUCCUAAGUCCCUACACCAAUUUUGCGAACUCGAGGAUUGUAAGAGGACCAAAAGGGAAUUAAAGGCAAUUAUUUGCUAGGUCUAAAAGGGUGAAGUUAACAAUAGUGAUGCACUGAUCCAAAUCAGGUAACCAGUGAACAAAAACCACCAAGGUUAACUACCAUAGUUCAAAUCUUGCAUUGCAGAAAUCAGAUUUCCACUUCACUUAUUCAAUCCCAAACCAUGGAAAAAUAGAUUCUGUUUGCAUUCAAACCAAACAAUCAUCUCCUAACUUUCAUUGCAAUUUUGGAAAAAUUCUAGUUGGUAGACUAUUCUAGACUAACUAUUUCUUCUUAAGAAAUUUCAAGAGGAUCCAUUUAAAAUUGCUAACGAUGACAUGAAAUGAAGUCGUACAUAAUCACAUAACAACCACUGCCUAUGCUUAGAAUUGACAUAAGCCAAAAUGAGAUGGAGAAGAAAACUUCAAAAGCGCUCCUAUUUUGUACCGCUGUUUACUGAAAUUAAAAUCCAAUAAGUCUAGAGAGUUAUUUAUGUUUCUGGUAACAUGAUAACAUCAAUGAACUAAUCAAAUAAUCAUAUAGAAAAUCCCUGGUAAGAUUCAGAUUAGUAUGUCAUAGCGCGAUGAAGCAAAAACCUACUCUUUCCCAUAAUAUGUUUUCUACUGCUUGCUUAGAAUAAUUUACGCCAGGUACAAAUACAAGCUUGUGAUAGAACAAAAACAUACCUGUGUUAGUUGUCUACUUUCAUGGUUUCCACGUAGAAGGGUAAUAUUAGCUGGGUAUCUAUGAAGUUGAACAAAAAUAAAAGAUGCAUAAAUAAAAAAGAAACGAAUUAAUAUAAUCACAAUAUUUCUAAUUCUAAUUUCCAACAUUUAAGGCCCAAACAUGUUCACUAAAUUACUACCAUGACUCCAUGAGGAAGCAAACAAAAUCUUCUUAAACAUAAAGAUAGUGUAACCGAAAGCCAUGUAACGUGAACAAGUUAAGGCAGAUGCAAGCAUACAUGGAAACAACAUACCUAGCUUUUAGAAGUAAAAGGAUGGUGAAUACUUCAAGACUAUUGUAACCCCGAUCAACAAAGUCUCCCUGCCACACAUUUAGGGAAGAUAUAGCACUUAAGAAAGGAUAUAUUGUAAAAAUGGGUACCCAGUUCCAAAAGAGAAUAGUACUAGUACAUACAUAGUUAUAUACAUACAUACAUACAUAGUUAUAUACAUACACACAAACAUACCAUAAAAAUGUAAUUUGUCUCCGGCACAUGACCCCCGGUCUGGAAAAGUUUCAUCAGAUCAUGAAACUGACCGUGAAUAUCACCACAAACCGUCACUGGACUAUUGACAGGCUGCACAUUUGACUCCUCAAUGAGGAUCUCUUUAACCUGAGAUGCCAAUACUCACUCGUGAGUUCAAUUCAAAACUAAAGCUGCAACAGGGCACAGCAGAAGCUAACGGUAGACCUAGCACCAGAGUUACACAAAGAAUAUAGCAAUAGCAGUGCACAUAAAACACAAGCAGAGCACAAAUCGGGGAACAGACAGAGCCUGCCCUAAAGAUCUUCUACGAUGCAUAUUGGUUACGGAAAUUGGGUUACGAAUGGAGCAAAAGAGCAGAUUAUAGAUGCAGUUGAUUCGAAGAUUUGACAGAGUUGGAGAGCAAUUGAAAAGAGAAACCCUAAAAUUUGAAAGAGAGAGAGAGAGAGAGAGUGUGUGAAGAUACAUAUUCGCAGAGAAGUUGAAGCUCGUCUUCAAGAAGGUGCUGGCCAUCUUUCACCUUGGAGAUCCACUGGUCCAAAUCCAUUUCACCUCCUUCCGCUGCCAAACACAACUCUGCUCCUACUUCCCUUCUCACCGGUCAACAAUGAACAACUUUUUAGGAUCUUAUUUUUUUUUUUCCUAUUUCCUAAACCAAAUGAAAUCUUCUCGCCAAUAACCAACCUCUUCUUCUUCUUAUUCUUAUUUAAAUUAAAUCAAUUCAUCUUUAUACAUAUUCAGAAAAUUACUAACCUAAUAUUGAAAUAAAAUUAUAAAAUUACAUGGGAAAGCCGGAUUAAAAAAAAAAAAUCAUGCAAAAAUUUAGGGUAAAAUUCUUGAUCUGGUGUAAGAAAGGUUUUUCCAUUUCCAAAGAUUAUGACUCCACUAAUCGUGAUUAAAAUUUAUUUAAAUUUUUAUAAAUGUUUUUAAUUUUAAGAAAGGAAGAGACACUAUAUUUAUUAUGUUAAAUAACUUAAUAAAAGUCAUAUAAAAACUAUAUAGUAUAAAAUAUUUUAAAACUAAAAAAAGGUUAGAUUAUCAAAUUUUGGGCAUAAACAUUUUUAUAGAAAAAACAUGUCUGAGAAAUAUGAUUCGUUAAAAAUAUUAUUUCUAAAAUAUAUAUUUCUCUUUUUUAAUUAUUUUAUUUUGUGAUAUGAACUUUAAAUUUCGAAAGUAGCUGGAAAAUGAUUUCAUUUUUUAUAACAAAUUGAAUUAUCUUUUAGGUUAAAUGCUUAGGGUUUAGGUUUCGAUCAUAAGUUUUUUUUUUCUUAAAGUAAUAAUUUUUACAAAGUAAUUAGGAGAUUAAUACUUUUACGAAAGAACUUAAAAUUUAAUUAUUAAGAAAUUGAUAAUUAAUCAUUUUUAUCGACUCUAUGAAAAAGUAGAUGAAAAUGUUUAUAUGAAGAUAAUGUGAGGUAAACAAAUAUAUAUUGAUAAAAUUAUAACCAUAUUACAUUUUCAUUGUACUCUUAAAAAAACCUUUAUUUACCAAAAAUUAAGAAUUAGACAUAUAUAUAUAUAUGUGUGUGAAUAUCAUCUAAUUAUAUAUACACAUGCAUAUAAAUACACAUAAAUGUGUGUAUAUAAUAUCAAAAAAUAUAAAAUUAUAAUAGUACAGUAUCACCAAAGUUUAUAUGAAAUUAGCAGUCCUACUUGUCAUUGUUUGAUUGUAUGUGGUCAACAAUACUAUUACAAAAAAAAUUGUUAAGAAAUAAUAAUAAUAAAUAAUAAUGUUUUAUUAAUAUAUUAAAUUAAAAACAUUAAGCAGAUUUUGGCAUAUGCUAGUAGAGUAUGAAAUAAUUUUAAACUAAAAAAUAGUUUUGAAUAUUUAAUAAAUAAUUUUAAAACAAUAUAACAAUUAAAAUAUAUUUUGAUCCAGUGGUUUGAAAUUAUUUGAAUUAUAUUGAAGUUAAGUUAAUUACGUUUUAUAAUAGACUUCUGAAUUCAACUUUGACAAAGAAAAAAUGAAAUAUGUUUUAACUUUGUUGACAUGUUUCUUGAAAAGAAGAUUAUAGGAUCUAUCAAUCUAGAAAGGUUUUGAAAAACAAUCUUCAUUAUCGGACAUGAAAGUUUAUGUGAAAAAAUCAAAAAACAACAAGACAAAAUAUUUUACCUUAAAAGAAACGUCAAGGAUAAAAGAAAUAAAAAUUCUACCACUUAAAAAAAAAUAUAGAAGAUAAAAAUUGAUGAAGUAUAGUAUUCUUUAAGACACUUAAUAUUCUUUAAACACGAAGCUAAUGAAACUAAUAAUUAAUGUGAAUAUUAAAUUAAUGAUUACAUUAAUAUAAUAAUUAUACUUAUAUGAAUGAUAAAGGAUUUCGUAAUAUUUUUAAAGGUUUUUUUAGCUUUGUAUAUCAUCAAAUUAAGGUUAAGGAAACACUUACUAAUUAAAAACACAAAUUACAACCUAAACUAAAUAUUAAACACAAGACCAACAUCUUACUCUCAUUUAUUGUUGAUAAUAAUAUGAGGUUUGUAUCAAAUGGAUGUCAAUAGUGCAUGAAAAUGAGGAAGUUGUAUAUAGAAUAACCCAUUGAGUUUAACAAGGUCUUGUAUGGUUUUAAACAAACUCAUGAAGCUUCGUAUGAAAAACUAAAUUAAUUUUUCUUAUUGAAAAUGGUUUUUAAGAGAAAGACACUACUUUUAUAUUGAAAAUGGUUUUUCUUAUUAUUCAGAUUUAUAUUGAUGGUGUCAUUUUAGAUACUAACAAACCCAUGUAGUAAGAAAUUUUCCAAGUUUAUGCAUGAGUUAUAAUAAACAUGAUGGGUGAGUUGAAGUUCUUCUUGGUAUUCAAAAUCAAUGAACAAGGAAUCAACGGAUGGGGAAUAACAUCUUCACCCGCCAAACAAAGUAUGUGAAUGAGUGAUAAGUGUCAAAAUUACCUGUUCAUGUACUUUAUUGAGACACUUAAUUUAUAUCACAUUGAAUAUUUUUAUGUAAAAAGUGUCUUUAUCAACUCUAAAACUUAGAAAUGUAUGCAUCUAGAGAAGUUACUUAAGGAUUAUGGUUUUUUGAUUUACAGGUUUAGGUGCAAUAGAAAAAGUCAAUACAAUUUAUCCGUCGAGUAGAAUUAAGUCAAUGUAUUCCACUCAACGUAGAAAGUUGGAGAGCAUAAGACCAUCAAGCGUGGCCAACACCUGUUGUUUCCAUAAAAGAAAUUUUUCUUCAUCAAGCUUUGAGAAGAAUCGGAGUAAGAGUUAAGCUCUGAUACCAUAUUACGAAGUGGACUUUAAGCCUAACUCAAUCCCAUAAAACCGGUUCAUAGGAUUGAGGUUUGCACUCACUUAUAUACAAUGAAAUGCUCUAAUCUCUAGUCGAUGUAAGAUCUCCAACCUGCAGAAGUCAUAGUUACUCAAGAAAAAGAGAAGGAAAGCGAAAAAACUAAUAGCUCUAGAUAACACACCUAUCUAACUAAAUUCCAAUUCAGUGAAUGACAGUGUAACUUUUUUAUUCAUAUAUGCUCUUACUAAUUGCAUUUAUGUUAGAUAUAAUAUUUGUUGUAUGCUUACACACUCAUUUCCAACUUCACUUAAGAUAUUCAUUUAUUUCCAGAUAUUUGUUUUUUAUUAUUUUAUUAGAACAAAGAUAGGGGAUAAAAUAACCAUUGAAAGUUAAGAAUAUAAGGCAGCAUGAUCAAACUCAAAAAAUAAAUGCAACAUGUGAUAAAAAAAUUAUUAUUUUUUAAAAUUGUUUUUGUUUUAUAUGACAAAUACUAGUAGAUAAUACGAUGAGCAGGAGAGUGUGGGAUGAUAAGAUUCCUCACAACACGACACGUCUCUGUCCUAAUCAUUUUCUUAAUUUCUUUUUUUAAUAUAAAAACUUUAAUCCUUCUCUUAUUUCUUCGUCUUCUCUUCGUUCUUCACCAAACCAUAACCAUGGCGUCUUCAACCCAAACUCUCCUUGAACGUGCUCGUCCCUUCCUCCGCGGGGACCUCCAAUCCAUUCACCAGAACCUCCCUUCGCUCGUCGCCGUCCUGCAGAGCGUCGGUGCCGGAGAGUGCUGGCACAAACACGGCAGCUUCCUCCACCAUCUUCUCGACAUAUACCGCAUUCUCGCCCUCUGGAAAGCCCCUCACUCCGUCUGCCUCUGCGGCCUCUUCCACUCAGCCUACUCCAACUCCUACGUCAACCUCGCCAUCUUCGACCCUUCAACCGGCCGUGAAGUGGUUCGCCACCACGUCGGCCACCAAGCAGAGUCUCUCAUCCACCUGUUCUGUGUCGUUCCCAGGCAGACCCUCAUCCACGACGAUCUCCUCUUCCACUACUCCGAUCAAGAACUCGUGCAACACCUCGCCGAGGCAGAUAUAUCUCUGAGGAACGCCAAGGAGAAGGGCGUCUUCGACGGGGAGGAAGGAUGGAGGAAGAAACUGCAGGGUCUUGUUCCGGCGGAGGGGGUUGAAGUGAAGCACAUUCGAACGGGUGAAGGGGUGCGUGUUUCUCGGAGGAUAGUGGGUAUUUUCGUGAUGAUGACCAUGGCCGAUUUCUGCGACCAGUUGUUUGGGUUUCAGGAUGUUCUGUUUGAUAACGCGAACGGUCGGCUAGAGUUUUCUGGCAACAAUUUGGCGGUUGUGUGGCCGGGAGAUGGGAAGCCGGGGCUGUGGAUGAACUCAAUUUCAAGGAUGGGAGCAGUGUACAGGUUGAUUGUGAGGGAAGAAGAGAUUUGGAUUGAAGAGAAGAGAAGGAAGGUUGGUGGGGUGGUGGUGGAUGUGGAGAGAAAUGAAGAUAUUGAGUUGGUGUUGCCUCCAGUGUUUGAUGAGUGCACAAGGGUUUUGGAGGCUGGGGAUCAAAUAGUUGCAAGAGAUUUGUACUGGGAAGGUGUUUGUGAGAGGGAGAUGGGGAAGAUUGAAGAGUUGAUGGUGCAGUCAAUAAGCAAAAACCCUUUUGUUGGAGAGCCAUAUGUGGUGCUGAGUCAGGUUUGUUUGACAGAGGGGAGGUUUGAGGAGGCUGAGAAACAUGCAGAAAAAGGACUGAGACUUUUGCUGGAAUGGGGGUGCCCUUGGGACAAGAGGAAUUCUUGGGAAGGGUGGGUUGCGUGGAGUAGGGUGUUGCUGAUGAAGGCUAAGGACAAAUCUUGGCCUAACACUUCAUGGGGCAUCCUCAACUUGGGUCUUGUAAAGUAGUGUUCCUUCUCAUCUUUAACCAAAUAAUGAUCAGAUUAUCAGUGUGCUCUAUCUUUGUUACUGUUUUUAUCAUUACAUAAUCAAUUAAUGAUGUUUUAAUGAUCUUUUAUCUGUAUGGAUCUUUGGUUGUAUUGUACAUUUAAGAUAAUCUUAAUACUUGAUUAACGUAUAAUCAUAUGAUUACUGAUCUAAGUGUAUCUUAAUAAAAUAUAUCAGAACGUGUAGGUGUGCGUAGUUGAGUUACUCUUGAAAUAUCGUUUAUACAUUGGUUCCAGGCUUUGGGAGAGAGAAAUGAAGAAGAAUCUUAAGAAAGAAAAGUAUUUGUAGAAUUAGUC
rnacentral:lncRNA from 1 species